rnacentral:rRNA from 1 species
GUCGAGAAUCUUCCGCAAUGCGCGAAAGCGUGACGGAGCGACACCGCGUGAUGGAUGAAGUCCUUCGGGGCGUAAACAUCUUUUAUAAAGGAGGAAAUUUUUGACGUUACUUUAUGAAUAAGGGGCUCCCAAUCUCGUGCCAGCAGGAGCGGUAAUACGAGAGCCUCAAGCGUUAUCCGGAAUCAUUGGGCGUAAAGGGUGCGUAGGUGGUUUGAUUAGUCUCCCGUUAAAACUUCGAGCUUAACUCGAAAAGAGCGGGGGAAACGGUCAAACUAGAGUAUGUGAGAGGUGUGUGGAACUCAUGGUGUAGGGGUGAAAUCCGUUGAUAUCAUGGGGAACACCAAAAGCGAAGGCAGCACACUGGCACAUCACUGUCACUGAGGCACGAAACCUAAGGUAGCGAAUGGGAUUAGAAACCCUGGUAGUCC